rnacentral:rRNA from 1 species
AACGUAGGACGCAAGCGUUAUCCGGAGUUACUGGGCGUAAAGCGCGGGCAGGCGGUCGGGCAAGUGGGGUGUGGAAAUCUCCCAGCUUAACUGGGAGAGGCCAUUCCAAACUGCCUGACUGGAGGGCAGUAGAGGUAGGCGGAAUUCCGGGUGGAGUGGUGAAAUGCGUAGAGAUCCGGAGGAACACCAGAGGCGAAGGCGGCCUACUGGGCUGCACCUGACGCUGAGCCGCGAAAGCUAGGGGAGCGAACGGG